rnacentral:rRNA from 1 species
GUAUGGCAAGAGAUCAUUCGCAACAAGUAUGUGGGAUCCAAUGCCAUUUCUCAAGUUCAUUGGAAACCCGGGGAUUCACAUUUUUGGAGUGGCGUGAUGAAGGCCAAGGAAUUCUUUUUCCAAUUUGGGACCUUCUCGGUUAGGGAUGGUUCUCAGGUUCGAUUCUGGGAAGACACCUGGUUAGGGAACAACCCACUAAUGGUGCAAUACCCGAGCUUGUACAGGAUUGUCAGACAUAAAUUUGUCACGAUCAAAUAA